rnacentral:rRNA from 1 species
AAAAACAUCGCCUCUUGACUAACUAUAAGAGGUCCAGCCUGCCCAGUGAGAUACUUAAACGGCCGCGGUACCCUGACCGUGCAAAGGUAGCAUAAUCAUUUGUUCUUUAAAUAAGGACUCGUAUCAACGGCAUCACGAGGGUUAUACUGUCUCCCCUCUCUAAUCAGUGAAACUGACCUCCCCGUGAAGAGGCGGGGAUAAAAAUACAAGACGAGAAGACCCCAUGGAGCUUUAAACCCAAUAACAACCCCUUUUAAAAAUAACAUAAAAACUCUACGGUAAUGUUUAUUGGUUUUAGGUUGGGGUGACCACGGAGCAAAACACAACCUCCUUGACGAAUUGAUUUCAUCCUAAUCCAAGAGCCACUGCUCUAAGAAUCAAAAAUUUGACGUAAUAUGAUCCGGUAACCGAUCAACGAACCAAGUUACCCUGGGGAUAACAGCGCAAUCCAUUUCAAGAGCCCCUAUCGACAAAUGGGUUUACGACCUCGAUGUUGGAUCAGGGUAUCCCAGUGGUGCAGCCGCUACUAAAGGUUUGUUUGUUCAACAAUUAAAACCCUACGUGAUC